AAGUUGCAACAAAGGAGUACCACCAGUACCAACAGCAACGCCAGCAGACGGAGACGAUUUGCGGGAACGCUUGCUUAGCAACUGACUGGCCGAUGGUUGAUUGGGGUGAACCAGCGGUGUUUUGCUGGAGGAGCAACGGACGUGCAGCAAGGCUAUGUACGAAAAUUGUGCCUGCUACAAGAAAAAUUGUGGCACCACAGCCACAGCCACAGCCAACACUGCAGAGCGCGAUGGCGACAUGACAUGACGCCACACUGGUGGCACACAUAGCCUCAGAUGGCAAUGGCGAUGGCGAUGGCGGCAGCAGCGGCAAACGCGAUGGCAGCAGUGAAUGACUCACUUUGCUGGUGGUGCCGCCGACCACUUCCAACAAACCGCAAACGAAAAGGCAAUAAUGCAGUGGCACGAAAAACAACUGAAAAGCAACUGCAACAAGCAACGAUGUGAAACUAAAAUUGAAAAAAUUCCGCAGCAUGACAAAAAAGUAUUCGCGCAAAUGCAAAAACGAAUGAAAAAUGAAGCAGACUGAAGAAAUAUAGGAACCACCCAAGCCAACUUCGCUCGGCACAGACAACAACACCACAUUACAACUUGAGCUAGCCGGCGAAACGGCCAACAAAUUUUAACCGGCUGCCGCCGAAUGAGCGAACGAAUGAUGCAGCCAAAUAGCGCUGAACAAAGCCCUACACAUAUUUAGAUUUUACAUAGGUAUGCUUGUAUAUACAUAUAUACUAGGUAUGUAAUUGAGAAAAUUUUAGUUGGCAAAUGAGAAACGAAGCAAUGCAGUGUGUAUGCAGAAAAGUCCAGACGAAUCAAUCGAGAGAAUGGCUAAAAGUUGUAUGGACAGCGGAGAGAAAUCGAAGCAUGGAGCUAAACGCUAAUAGGUCAAACACGCCAGAAAAGGAGUUAAAUCUUUCCACAAAAGCUAUAGCCAUAAUCAGAAAUUUUAAAUUUACACACAUUUAAGAAAAAUGUAAAUUUCCGUGCGCUAGAAAGCAUAAUUUGUCGAAUUUAUUCCAAGUACGCUACAGGAUAAGCUACUUGCUGGGAACUAGAUUUGAUUGAAGCUGAACUUCAACUUGUUCGUAUUCUAUCCUUUCCCCAUGCUAUCAAUCAACUGGCAUUUUUAAGAUGGCAGUAACCUACGAAAUUCCAAUUGUACGGCUAUGUAGCAGCAUCAUAACAGCUGAUGGAGUUGUCUGCCUUUCCAUCACUAGCCGAUAGUAGGUUCCUUCCCGAUGAUCAGAGAUACUUUUUAAUAUUAUCGAUAACAUUUGUAUCGUUAUCGUUUUUACUAAUAUCAUGUUACCCCCGAUUUAUUACCCAAAAAAAAUAGAUAUCGUUAUCGGUAUUUUUAGUUAUAGACAUUAUCGUUAUCAAUACUUUUUUAUUUCGAAUAAACCUGUUAGCUUACAUCUUUUAAA
rnacentral:lncRNA from 1 species